GCUGGUGCUUCGGCGGUGGGGUCACACCCGUUCUCAUUCCGAACACGGAAGUUAAGCCCACCUGCGCCGAUGGUAGUCGCAAGGCGAGAGUAGGUCGGCGCCAGCA
rnacentral:rRNA from 2 species